GAUGAAGAACGUAGUGAAAUGCGAUACGUAAUGUGAAUUGAAGAAUUCAGUGAAUCAUCGAGUCUUUGAACGCACAUUGCGCCCCCUGGUAUUCCGGGGGGCAUGCCUGUCCGAGCGUCAUUGCUGCCCUCAAGCACGGCUUGUGUGUUGGGCCUCCGUCCUCCUCCCGGGGGACGGGCCCGAAAGGCAGCGGCGGCACCGCGUCCGGUCCUCGAGCGUAUGGGGCUUCGUCACCCGCUCUUGUAGGCCCGGCCGGCGCUUGCCGACACAUCAAUCUUUUUUCCAGGUUGACCUCGGAUCAGGUAGGGAUACCCGCUGAACUUAAGCAUAUCAAUAAGCGGAGGA
rnacentral:misc_RNA from 1 species